rnacentral:lncRNA from 1 species
AUUCGUGAUAAAGGGUCUAACUGGGCCGUGUCCUUCCGGGCUCUAGGUUUGCAGUAAGCAUCGUCCUUGAACCAACAGGAGGACACGCUGCCCACUGCAGGAGGCCGGGAGGAAUUGCAUCAGGGUUAAUUAUGUGGAAUCUUUUCGGAAUUGCUCUGAACAAACCAUCUAAGUUGCUGAGGAUCUCACUCAGUUGCUGAGGCUGGCCUCCACUUUGUGAUCCUCCUGCCUCAGCCUCCCGAGCCUCUCGGAUGACAGGCGGGCACCACCGUGUCCAGAGUGAUUUUUUUUUUUUUUUAAAUUGCCAUGAACGUAUUAAUCAGCUUGGGCCCCCAGGGGUUGCGCUGGACGGAUGUCGCUGGCUGAUUUAUCGAAACAAGUUGGGGCCUCAGCCCACCUUAGCACUCCAAACGGAGUAACUUGAGGCCAAUGGCCUCCUUUAGGGAACGCGUUGAUGCAGAGUUGACCGCGGAUCUGUUCCUGGCGGAGGGACUUGCAAGAGCUGGCUCUCCUGUCCCUUCCGAUUCUUGAGCUAAAACAGCACCAGUCAAUUCUUGGAGGACUCUUUCCAGCAAUCUCCACAACAGGGAAGAGGCGCACAGCUCUCUUAUUUAAAUGACACGGAACAGGCCAUUGCAGGGCUGUGAGUGACAGGGCCAGGGAGCCGCAUUGCAGGCGCCAAGCACCGCGGAGCCCGUGCGCAUGGACGCGGUGGCGCACCGCUGUCCUCCCAGAGGCUCCGGAGGCUGAGGCAGGAGGAUCGUGAGUUCAAAGCCAGCCUCAGCCAAAGCGAGGCCGUAAGCAACUCAGGGAGACCCUGUCUCUCAAUAAAAUGCAAAAUAGGGCUGGGGACGGGGCUCAGGGGUCGAGGGCCCCCGAGUUUAAUCCCUGGUACCCCCCAAAAAAGAAAAGAAA